AGUGAACGCUGGCGGCAGGCCUAACACAUGCAAGUCGAGCGGCAGCGGGUCCUUCGGGAUGCCGGCGAGCGGCGGACGGGUGAGGAAUACAUCGGAAUCUGCCCUGUCGUGGGGGAUAACCUAGGGAAACUUAGGCUAAUACCGCAUACGACCUACGGGUGAAAGCGGGGGAUCGCAAGACCUCGCGCGACAGGAUGAGCCGAUGUCCGAUCAGCUAGUUGGCGGGGUAAAGGCCCACCAAGGCGACGAUCGGUAGCUGGUCUGAGAGGAUGAUCAGCCACACUGGGACUGAGACACGGCCCAGACUCCUACGGGAGGCAGCAGUGGGGAAUAUUGGACAAUGGGCGCAAGCCUGAUCCAGCCAUGCCGCGUGGGUGAAGAAGGCCUUCGGGUUGUAAAGCCCUUUUGUCCGGGAAGAAAUCGUCUGGGCUAAUACCCCGGGCGGAUGACGGUACCGGAAGAAUAAGCACCGGCUAACUUCGUG
rnacentral:rRNA from 1 species